GGUUCGAUCCUGGCUCAGAUUGAACGCUGGCGGGAUGCUUUACACAUGCAAGUCGAACGGCAGCACGGACUUCGGUCUGGUGGCGAGUGGCGAACGGGUGAGUAAUGUAUCGGAACGUGCCUAGUAGCGGGGGAUAACUACGCGAAAGCGUAGCUAAUACCGCAUACGCCCUUCGGGGAAAGCGGGGGACCUUCGGGCCUCGCACUAUUAGAGCGGCCGAUAUCGGAUUAGCUAGUUGGUGGGGUAACGGCUCACCAAGGCGACGAUCCGUAGCGCUGGUUUGAGAGGACGACCAGCCACACUGGGACUGAGACACGGCCCAGACUCCUACCGGGAGGCGGCAGUGGGGAAUUUUGGACAAUGGAAACCCUGAUCCAGCCAUCCCGCGUGUGCGAUGAAGGCCUUCGGGUUGUAAAGCACUUUUGGCAGGAAAGAACGGCGCGGAUAAUACCCGUGCAACGGCGAGCCUGCAGAAUAAGCACCGGCUAACUACGUGCCAGCAGCCGCGGUAAUACGUAGGGUGCAAGCGUUAAUCGGAAUUACUGGGCGUAAAGCGUGUGCGCAGGCAGUUCGGAAAAGAAAGAUGUGAAAUCCCAGGCUUAACUUUGGAACUGCAUUUUUAACUACCGAGCUAGAGUGUGUCAGAGAGGAGGUGGAAUUCCGCGUGUAGCAGUGAAAUGCGUAGAUAUGCGGAGGAACACCAAUGGCAGAGGCAGCCUCCUGGGAUAACACUGACGCUCAUGCACGAAAGCGUGGGGAGCAAACAGGAUUAGAUACCCUGGUAGUCCACGCCCUAAACGAUGUCAACUAGCUGUUGGGGCCUUCGGGCCUUGGUAGCGCAACUAACGCGUGAAGUUGACCGCCUGGGGAAGUACGGUCGCAAGAUUAAAACUCAAAGGAAUUGACGGGGACCCGCACAAGCGGUGGAUGAUGUGGAUUAAUUCGAUGCAGCGCGAAAAACCUUGCCUACCCUUGACAUGUCUGGAAUCCCGAAGAGAUUUGGGGAGUGCUCGCAAGAGAACCGGAACACAGGUGCUGCAUGGCUGUCGUCAGCUCGUGUCGUGAGAUGUUGGGUUAAGUCCCGCAACGAAGCGCAACCCUUGUCAUUAGUUGCUACGAAGGGCACUCUGUGGGACUGCCGGUGACAAACCGGAGGAAGGUGGGGAUGACGUCAAGUCUGUGGCCCUGUGGGUAGGGCUUCACACGUCAUACAAUGGUCGGGACGGAAGUUGUCCAACCCGCGAGGAGGUAAUCGGGGCGAUCGUAGUCGGAUCGCAGUCUGCAACUCGACUGCGUGAAGUCGGAAUCGCUAGUAAUCGCGGAUCAGCAUGUCGCGGUGGAACGUUCCAGGUCUUGUACACACCGCCCGUCACACCAUGGGAGUGGGUUUUACCAGAAGUAGUUAGCCUAACCAUGGAGGGCGAUUACCACAGUAGGAUUCAUGACUGGGGUGAAGUCGUAACAAGGUAA
rnacentral:rRNA from 1 species